GGUUUUGUGAGGAUAGGUUAUCAGCUCUCAUAAUGCUGGGGUCGGCGGUUCAAGUCCGCCUCUAGCUACCA
rnacentral:tRNA from 1 species